ACAAAUACAGAAACACAAAAGGGGUGGGAGUGGAGAGAGAAUUUAGAGAGAAGACGUGGUGAAUUAAAGGAUAACGGUGAUGGUGAAUCACAUUUGACCCCGAGGGAGCACAGUGUGUAAAGCACUGUCAGUGACGUGAGGUCAUUUGGCUUCUCCUGUCUGAACCCCAUGGUCGGUCACGUUGGUAACACUCUCGCAGGACACACUGGCUCCCUGGCCUGGUAGCCCUCCCCCUGGACCACCCCUGGCACUGGACCAUGUUACUAGUCUGCUCCAUCUGCUGCCCUUCCCUGUGGGAAGAUUAGACCUCACUGCCCUGUUCAACUCAGGCAGGCAAGCAAUUUGCUUUAGUCAAUGAAAUGUGAGCAGAAGUGACGUAGGUCACCUCCAGACAGAUCAAGAGUCAGCUUGUGCUUCCCAGUGCUCUCUGUUCCUCUGCCACAGAGAGGCCCAGACUGAACAGGUGGUGAGGAGUCAAGUGACAGACAGCCAACCCACAAAGGACAUGUAUUAAUGAGAAAUAAACCUUUGUUGGAGGAAGACACAGAGAUUCUGGGGUGGUUUACACCACAGCCUCAGCCGGCCUCUCCUCUGAGUCUGUCUCUAGGAUGGUGAGCUCAUGUGGAGAAGUGCCCUUGCUGAGACGCUUGGCCCAGUGGGCUCGUCUCAGCAAGGCCUUCAGCAGUGCGCAGCCACCCGCUCCUCCUUUCUGGCUGGAACCCUGGGCCAUUUUCCCCAGAGCAGCUGUUCAAGCCCACGCCACUCUCUUCAAGCCCCCUCCUCUCAUUCUGCCACCUCAUUCCCUGGAGACAGACUUGCUUUUUCUUUCUCAAGAACUCUGGAGCCACCAGGGCUGGAGAGUAGAUAGUGACAAGUGUUCAAAACAGAGUCAAAAAAGGCAGCUGCUGAUGGAGGGCAUGGGGUCCAUCUUGUCUGUUGAGUGCGUGCCAUUCAAAGCAUAAGCUCUGGGGCCACGAGAAGCUGUGCUACGGGAAAGGAAGAGUCAGCGUCUGCAUACCUGUGGAGAUGUACUUCAUUAUAGUUCGACUUCUGACUUCUGUAUAGACUACCUCAUGUUCACCACCAAAAGUCUAGCUGCCAUCCGUCACUUGGCUACCUGUGGAGGUAUCUUUCUUCCCUCCCAGACUGUGCAACUGUCGAGGAUCAGGACCGUCCUUUUGCAUCAGUGUAGCCCUCACUGUGCCUAGGACAGGGCUUCGGAAUGCAGCCUCCACCUCACCCAUGGGAACAGCUAAACAGGAAGUCCCUGGGCCGCCCAGCCAGAGAGAGGGCAUAGAGUUGCGACACAAGUAUCUCAUGGCAUCUGGCAUCUAGACCACUUCUCACAAUACGUCCACAAAUUCUUUGACGCUCCUCCCUUAGGUGGAGCCUAACUCCCCUCCCCUUGAACGUGAUUGGACUUACUGACUCACUUGCAACAAACAGAAUAUGGUGGAAGUGGUGUAUGGAACGUCUGAAACUGGACCAUUCAAGGCACUGCAGCCUCCUUCUUGCUCUCUCUCUCUUGGAUCAUUCACUCUGGGGACAGCAAAGUGCCAUGUCAUAAGGACACUCAAACAGCCCCUAUGGAGAGACCCAUGAGGCAAGGAACUGAGGCCUCUUGCCAAACGCCAUGUGAGUGAGUCUUCUUAGAAGUGGAUCCUCAGCCCCAGGCAGGUGUUCAGAUGACCUCAUGAGCGACCUGGAGCUAGAACCACCUAGCUAAGAUGUCACU